AUAUUUUCCUACAAUGCUUCCACUGUUGUAAACAGCUUCAAAAUUUACCAUGUAUACCACAACUGCAGUUUUUGUUAUUUAUUCAAGGUGUGUAAUUACAAGUCAUAGCGGAAGUGGGAGUCGGAUUCAUUUCAGACUUUAUUUUUUAUACAUACUUAAUCCAGAAUAGAGUGAAAAUUGGUUUUCCAUGAUGUUUUUAUGCACUUGAAAUAUUUGCAAAAAAUAUUUACAUUGUUGUUGAUAUGUAUUGGAGGAAAUUAUUGUAACUUUGUGUAAUACAUUACCAGUGUUGUUGACCUUUUUGUACUUGCAGAAAAAUUAUACUGAUUUAUUAAUAAAUUGUUAUGGACA
rnacentral:misc_RNA from 1 species